AUUGAACGCUGGCGGCAUGCUUUACACAUGCAAGUCGAACGGCAGCGCGGGCUUCGGCCUGGCGGCGAGUGGCGAACGGGUGAGUAAUACAUCGGAACGUGCCCAGUAGUGGGGGAUAGCUCGGCGAAAGCCGGAUUAAUACCGCAUACGACCUGAGGGUGAAAGCGGGGGAUCUUCGGACCUCGCGCUAUUGGAGCGGCCGAUGGCAGAUUAGCUAGCUGGUGGGGUAAAGGCCUACCAAGGCGACGAUCUGUAGCUGGUCUGAGAGGACGACCAGCCACACUGGGACUGAGACACGGCCCAGACUCCUACGGGAGGCAGCAGUGGGGAAUUUUGGACAAUGGGCGAAAGCCUGAUCCAGCAAUGCCGCGUGUGUGAUGAAGGCCUUCGGGUUGUAAAGCACUUUUGGCGGGAACGAAAAGGACUGUGCCAAUACCACGGUUCGAUGACGGUACCCGCAGAAUAAGCACCGGCUAACUACGUG
rnacentral:rRNA from 1 species